UACGAAGGGUGCGAGCGUUGUUCGGAAUUACUGGGCGUAAAGGGUUCGUAGGCGGGAAGAUAAGUUAAGUGUGAAAUCCCCAAGCUCAACUUGGGACGUGCACUUAAAACUAUUUUUCUUGAGUGUUGGAGAGGGUGGUGGAAUUGCUGGUGUAGGAGUGACAUCCGUAGAGAUCAGCAGGAACAUCGGAGGCGAAGGCGACUUCCUGGCCUGUUCUUGACGCUGAGGCGCGAAAGCUAGGGUAGCAAACGGG
rnacentral:rRNA from 1 species